AGAGUUUGAUCCUGGCUCAGAUUGAACGCUGGCGGUAUGCUUAACACAUGCAAGUCGAACGGAAACGAUGGAAGCUUGCUUCCAGGCGUCGAGUGGCGGACGGGUGAGUAACGCGUAGGAAUCUGCCUGAUAGUGGGGGAUAGCCCGGAGAAAUCCGGAUUAAUACCGCAUAAUCUCUACGGAGUAAAGGAGGCCUCUAUUUAUAUGCUUUCGCUAUCAGAUGAGCCUGCGUAAGAUUAGCUAGUUGGUGAGGUAAAAGCUCACCAAGGCGACGAUCUUUAGCUGGUCUGAGAGGAUGAUCAGCCACACUGGGACUGAGACACGGCCCAGACUCCUACGGGAGGCAGCAGUGGGGAAUAUUGGACAAUGGGCGCAAGCCUGAUCCAGCAAUACCGCGUGUGUGAAGAAGGCCUGAGGGUUGUAAAGCACUUUCAAUUGUGAAGAAAAGCUAAAGACUAAUAAUCUUUAGCCUUGACGUUAACUUUAGAAGAAGCACCGGCUAACUCCGUGCCAGCAGCCGCGGUAAUACGGAGGGUGCAAGCGUUAAUCGGAAUUACUGGGCGUAAAGCGUGCGUAGGUGGUUUGUUUAGUCAGAUGUGAAAUCCCCGGGCUCAACCUGGGAACUGCAUUUGAAACUGGCAAACUAGAGUAUAGGAGAGGAAAGUGGAAUUUCUGGUGUAGCGGUGAAAUGCGUAGAUAUCAGAAGGAACAUCAAUGGCGAAGGCAGCUUUCUGGACUAAUACUGACACUGAGGUACGAAAGCGUGGGUAGCAAACAGGAUUAGAUACCCUGGUAGUCCACGCCGUAAACGAUGAUAACUAGCCGUUGGGAGGGUUUACCUCUUAGUGGCGAAGCUAACGCGUUAAGUUAUCCGCCUGGGGAGUACGGCCGCAAGGUUAAAACUCAAAGGAAUUGACGGGGACCCGCACAAGCGGUGGAGCAUGUGGUUUAAUUCGAUGCAACGCGAAGAACCUUACCUGGUCUUGACAUACACGGAACUUUCCAGAGAUGGAUUGGUGCCUUCGGGAACGCUGUGACAGGUGUUGCAUGGCUGUCGUCAGCUCGUGUCGUGAGAUGUAUGGUUAAGUCCAGUAACGAGCGCAACCCCUAUCCUUAUUUGCCAGCGCGUUAAGGCGGGAACUAUAGGGAGACUGCCGGUCAAAAACCGGAGGAAGGCGGGGACGAGGUCAAGUCAUCAUGGCCCUUAUGGGUAGGGCUACAAACGUGCUACAAUGGAUGGUACAAAAGGUCGCCAAAGCGCGAGCUGGAGCCAAACCUCUAAAACCAUUCUUAGUCCGGAUUGGAGUCUGCAACUCGACUCCAUGAAGUUGGAAUCGCUAGUAAUCGCGAAUCAGAAUGUCGCGGUGAAUACGUUCUCGGGCCUUGUACACACCGCCCGUCACGUCAUGGAAGUGGGUUGCACCAGAAGUGGUUUGUUUAACCUUCGGGAAAACGGUCACCACGGUGUGAUUCACAACUGGGACGAAGUCGUAACAAGGUAACC
rnacentral:rRNA from 1 species